AUCCAGCUGAUGAGUCCCAAACGGAACAAAACGCACAUCCUGGAU
rnacentral:hammerhead_ribozyme from 1 species